ACAGAGUCAAUGUGGAGGCUAUAUACAGGGGGUACCGGUACAGAGUCAAUGUGGAGGCUAUAUACAGGGGGUACCGGUACAGAGUCAAUGUGGAGGCUAUAUACAGGGGGUACCGGUACUGAGUCAAUGUGGAGGCUAUAUACAGGGGGUACCGGUACAGAGUCAAUGUGGAGGCUAUAUACAGGGGGUACCGGUACUGAGUCAAUGUGGAGGCUAUAUACAGGGGGUACCGGUACAGAGUCAAUGUGGAGGCUAUAUUCCGGGGUACCGGUACAGAGUCAAUGUGGAGGCUAUAUACAGGGGGUACCGGUACAGAGUCAAUGUGGAGGCUAUAUACAGGGGGUACCGGUACAGAGUCAAUGUGGAGGCUAUAUACAGGGGGUACCGGUACAGAGUCAAUGUGGAGGCUUUAUACAGGGGGUACCGGUACAGAGUCAAUGUGGAGGCUAUAUACAGGGGGUACCGGUACAGAGUCAAUGUGGAGGCUAUAUACAGGGGGUACCGGUACAGAGUCAAUGUGGAGGCUAUAUACAGGGGGUACCGGUACAGAGUCAAUGUGGAGGCUAUAUACAGGGGGUACCGGUACAGAGUCAAUGUGGAGGCUUUAUACAGGGGGUACCGGUACAGAGUCAAUGUGGAGGCUAUAUACAGGGGGUACCGGUACAGAGUCAAUGUGGAGGCUAUAUACAGGGGGUACCGGUACAGAGUCAGUGUGGAGGCUAUAUACAGGGGGUACCGGUACAGAGUCAAUGUGGAGGCUAUAUACAGGGGGUACCGGUACAGAGUCAAUGUGGAGGCUAUAUACAGGGGGUACCGGUACAGAGUCAAUGUGGAG
rnacentral:lncRNA from 1 species